UACGUAGGGUCCGAGCGUUGUCCGGAGUUACUAGGCGUAAAGCGCGCGCAGGCGGCUCGGCAAGCAUGGCGUGAAAGCCCCCGGCUCAACCGGGGAGGGUCGUCGUGGACUGCCGGGCUUGAGGGCGGGAGGGGCUGGUGGAAUUCCCGGUGUAGUGGUGAAAUGCGUAGAGAUCGGGAGGAACACCCGUGGCGAAGGCGGCCAGCUGGACCGACCCUGACGCUGAGGCGCGAAGGCGUGGGGAGCGAACGG
rnacentral:rRNA from 1 species